rnacentral:rRNA from 1 species
UAGGCCAGCUGAUCUCAAUGCCGCGUGCAGGAAGAAGCCUUCGGGUUGUAAACUGCUUUUGUACGGAGCGAAAAGGCACUCUCUAAUACAGGGGGCCGAUGACGGUACCGUAAGAAUAAGCACCGGCUAACUACGUGCCAGCAGCCGCGGUAAUACGUAGGGUGCGAGCGUUAAUCGGAAUUACUGGGCGUAAAGCGUGCGCAGGCGGUUAUACAAGACAGGCGUGAAAUCCCCGGGCUUAACCUGGGAAUGGCGCCUGUGACUGUAUGGCUAGAGUGUGUCAGAGGGGGGUAGAAUUCCACGUGUAGCAGUGAAAUGCGUAGAUAUGUGGAGGAAUACCAAUGGCGAAGGCAGCCCCCUGGGAUAACACUGACGCUCAUGCACGAAAGCGUGGGGAGCAAACAGGAUUAGAUACCCUGGUAGUCCACGCCCUAAACGAUGCUGACUAGUUGUUCGGGAUUUACAUCCUGAGUAACGUAGCUAACGCGUGAAGUCAGCCGCCUGGGGAGUACGGUCGCAAGAUUAAAACUCAAAGGAA